rnacentral:rRNA from 1 species
UACGUAGGUGGCAAGCGUUGUCCGGAUUUAUUGGGCGUAAAGCGAGCGCAGGCGGAAGAAUAAGUCUGAUGUGAAAGCCCUCGGCUUAACCGAGGAACUGCAUCGGAAACUGUUUUUCUUGAGUGCAGAAGAGGAGAGUGGAACUCCAUGUGUAGCGGUGGAAUGCGUAGAUAUAUGGAAGAACACCAGUGGCGAAGGCGGCUCUCUGGUCUGCAACUGACGCUGAGGCU